AGCGAACGCUGGCGGCAGGCCUAACACAUGCAAGUCGAACGGACCCUUCGGGGUUAGUGGCGGACGGGUGAGUAACACGUGGGAACGUGCCUUUAGGUUCGGAAUAGCUCCUGGAAACGGGUGGUAAUGCCGAAUGUGCCCUUCGGGGGAAAGAUUUAUCGCCUUUAGAGCGGCCCGCGUCUGAUUAGCUAGUUGGUGAGGUAACGGCUCACCAAGGCGACGAUCAGUAGCUGGUCUGAGAGGAUGACCAGCCACACUGGGACUGAGACACGGCCCAGACUCCUACGGGAGGCAGCAGUGGGGAAUCUUGCGCAAUGGGCGAAAGCCUGACGCAGCCAUGCCGCGUGAAUGACGAAGGUCUUAGGAUUGUAAAAUUCUUACACCGGGGACGAUAAUGACGGUACCCGGAGAAGAAGCCCCGGCUAACUUCGUG
rnacentral:rRNA from 1 species